rnacentral:rRNA from 1 species
UACGUAGGCAGCGAGCGUUGUUCGGAGUUACUGGGCGUAAAGCGUGCGUAGGCGGUUUUCUAAGUUUGGUGUGAAAUCUCCCGGCUCAACUGGGAGGGUGCGCCGAAGACUGGAAGGCUUGAGUAUGGGAGAGGUAAGCGGAAUUCCUGGUGUAGCGGUGAAAUGCGUAGAUAUCAGGAGGAACACCUGCGGUGUAGACGGCUUACUGGACCAUAACUGACGCUGAGGCACGAAAGCGUGGGUAGCAAACAGG